GCUCUCUUCCCAGAGCUUCAGCCUCUUCCAAAGUGGUUGUGAGAGGUCUGCCAAGGGUCUCAGGCAACAACAACGUCAGCAGUCCAAUAAUAAACGCCAGGAUUCCCACGAUGAGCUACACAGGGUACGUACAGCAGGUACCACAAUGAUGAGCAUACAGGCGACCCCGGCCAGGAGCAGAGCUGGGGCGCACGUCUUCUUCCUGCCAAUCCGAUCCAUUGCAAAACAGCCAACCAGAUAAGAGGGGAUCUCCCACUGCACCUGGAAAGACCCGGCAGCUGUCAGUGAGAGAUUAUAGUGGCACUGACACACUGACAAGGGAAACCUCUAUCUAGGGGACGCAAAUAACCUGCAUCUGCAAGUUGACAGAGCCCAAAGAGAAGACAUAGUAGCCCAGGCUGCCGAUGAACCAGAUGGACCACACUGUGCACGUACGGCCCGCCAUCCUCCAGCUGCCGAACAGAGGACAGGAUGGACAGCUUCUUCUCAGAUGGUGCUGGCCGCUCCUCCUCCUGCCCCAGCAGAGCUGUGCCGUUCUCUCUCUCCCUCCGGCUCCAGCAGGUCCUCCACCUUCAGCCUGCAUUCGAGGCCGUUGAAAGCGGGCCAUAUUGUCCAGCAGGGCCUGGGCGUCCUUGUAACGGCCCCUGGCCAUCAAGUAAAAGGGUUGUUUCAGGAAACUUCCAGCAGAAGAGCAGGAAAGGCGAGGUGCAGGUGGAGAGGAUGAUCUGGUAGAUUCCACCAGACCCGCACCAGGUAGCCGCCAGGGCCACCACCAUGAUGCCCACAGCAAAGACCGCGUGCACGUGCAUAGAGGUCCAUGUGCGUACCUUAAUGCCAGUGAACUCUGUGACGUAGACAAACACCACCACGAGGUAGCCGCUGGACACCUGCCAAACGCAAAGAUGGGAAAAGAGGAAAGUAGGUACAACGGAUAAAAAGAGAGAAGGGGAAGGAGGAUUGGAAGAUAACAUUGAGAAAAGGUGGAAGAAAAGAGAGAAGAUCAAAGGAUAAUCAUUUUCUGUUGAUAUACAGACUCAUGAGUGGUUAUUUAUUACAAAUAAAAUACAUAUACCAAUUGUUUAAUUAGUUUUAUUUGAAGUAUUAUUUUGAAUACAUUGUGUAGGUAUACUGUAUUAACCACGGAGUGUCACCAUUUCUGGUCAACCCGGUAUCACGGUGAGACGUG